UGCCUAGUCUUCUGGCGCCGAGGACUCGGGAAAACAGGCAGCUGAAGGGAGCCUAGGGCUGAUUUAGAGGCGCUGACAUCCGAGGAGCCUUCUCCUGG
rfam:Procavia capensis cont1.101201, whole genome shotgun sequence.